rnacentral:misc_RNA from 1 species
UUAAAUUUAAAUUAUUAAAUUAUUAUUUAAAAAUAUAUUAAAAAUGAAAAUGUAGAUCUUAUAGAAGAUUUAAUUGUAAAUUACCAUUUUAAAUAUAUUAAAUGUGGAUAAGUCUCAUCAAACAGAAAAAAUAAAAACGCAGACGUGACAUAUUGGGUAGGAUUUGUGGCAUGGCAUCAGCCAUUACGUAGUGAGAGCUGGAGGUUGAGAAAGAAACAAACAGAAAGAAUAGAAGAUGGUAAACGCAUGAAGUUGUGGUGCACCUUUUGUCUUCAUGGGUGGUUGUUGUAUCCAUUUUGACUUGUUAUGAGUCUCAACUCCAAGGAUAUGAAUGAAAUGAUCAAACCCACAAAGCAACACUUGGAAUUUUCUAUAAAUUGAUUAAAAACUCCCAAAAAAAAAACCUUUACCUACUCCAAUGCCUUUGUUUAAUGUGAACCCUUUGUUUUAUUUUAAUUAAAACUCAAAUUAUUAAGAUUUAAUUACUUUGUUGAAAGAUUAAAAAAGUCAUCAGAAUAUUCCUUAAUUUAGCAAUUAAGGUUGAUAAUUGAUAGAAAUAUUCAGUCAUUAUCAUGUAACCAUUAUGUUGUAGUAGGUUUUUGGUAGAACUAAUCAUUACCUCAUAAUUAAAUAUUUUAUAUAUAUAAAAAUGCCAAUUAAAUUCAUGUAAUUAGUUGUGUUGUGAAAUGAUUAUUGCAGGUGUUCAGAUGAGAAGA